AUUGUUAGGCCCCUUACAGGUGUGGCUGUUGUAUCAUCUGGGCUUCCAUAGGUGCACAGAGAGGAGAGCAUUUAUGUCUGUGUUCAGUAUUCUGAGCUGUGAACACCUGAAUGAUAAUUAGCCUAACAAU